UGAGGAAUAUUGGUCAAUGGGCGGAAGCCUGAACCAGCCAAGUAGCGUGCAGGAUGACGGCCCUAUGGGUUGUAAACUGCUUUUAUACAGGAAUAAAGUUAGCCACGUGUGGUUAUUUGUAGGUACUGUAUGAAUAAGGACCGGCUAAUUCCGUGCCAGCAGCCGCGGUAAUACGGAAGGUCCAGGCGUUAUCCGGAUUUAUUGGGUUUAAAGGGAGCGUAGGCCGUCUGUUAAGCGUGUUGUGAAAGGUAGAGGCUCAACAUCUGAACUGCAGCGCAAACUGGCAGACUUGAGUGUGCGCAACGUAGGCGGAAUUCGUGGUGUAGCGGUGAAAUGCUUAGAUAUCACGAAGAACUCCAAUUGCGAAGGCAGCUUACGGGAGCACAACUGACGCUGAAGCUCGAAAGUGCGGGUAUCGAACA
rnacentral:rRNA from 1 species